rnacentral:lncRNA from 1 species
UGCUUCACCAGUCAUUGGGCAUUCCAUCCAACCCUGACAAUUGAUGAAUGUAGAUCAACCCCAUCAGAAAAAUUUCUCUUUGUAGCAGAAAACCAUUACAGAAAACUGGAAUUGGUUGAAAUGCAGAAAGUGAAUGAUCAUGGGUGCCCAGCCCCAGUGGACAUGUCUACACCACAGCUCCUGCAUUCAUGGCUCAGGAAACAGUGAAGAAGAUGUGCAGAAAGGCUGCAUGAAGCAAAACAAAAGGAAGCCUGCAUUGUGUGUAUUGUGAGGUAUCCACCAGAGAAGACUGCUCAGACAUGAGUUUAAGCCAAUGGAAAGUCUGUGUUACCUGGUCAGUGAUUACACUGGGCAUUUGGGAUCCCAGUGCAGUUCCAACCUUUUCUCAGGUUUAGUUUUUCAGCAAAAAAUCCCCUAUAUUCUGGGUUGGCAUACUUAAGUUAAUAUGAACAGUUAGCUAGCAGCUGAACUACAGAAACCAAAAAGCAAGGUUAGUACAUUUAGAGGCUCCAGACUUUGAUAGAUUAGGUCUUUGUCUUUUUAUUUUGGCAGGUGGUGCUGUCUGCAUACUGUGUUUUAUGUCCUGAAAGGUUCUUCCAUCAUAGAUUCAGUUGUGGGUGGUCUCUGCCAAUACCAUGGCCAGCAGAGUGUCAAUCCACAAGAGGGAAGAAGGGG